GACAGAGGGUGCAAACGUUGUUCGGAAUUACUGGGCGUAAAGCGCGUGUAGGUGGCAAGGCAAGUCGGGUGUGAAAGCCCUGGGCUCAACCCAGGAAGUGCACUCGAUACUGCCUCGCUAGAGUCCCGGAGAGGUUGGUGGAACUCUCGGUGUAGAGGUGAAAUUCGUAGAUAUCGAGAAGAACACCGGUGGCGAAGGCGGCCAACUGGACGGUGACUGACACUGAGACGCGAAAGCGUGGGGAGCAAACGGG
rnacentral:rRNA from 1 species